rnacentral:tRNA from 1 species
AAGAAUCUUCUCAAGGUA